rnacentral:rRNA from 4 species
UACGAAGGGGGCUAGCGUUGCUCGGAAUUACUGGGCGUAAAGGGAGCGUAGGCGGACAGUUUAGUCAGAGGUGAAAGCCCAGGGCUCAACCCUGGAAUUGCCUUUGAUACUGAUUGUCUUGAGUAUGGGAGAGGUGUGUGGAACUCCGAGUGUAGAGGUGAAAUUCGUAGAUAUUCGGAAGAACACCAGUGGCGAAGGCGACACACUGGCCCAUUACUGACGCUGAGGCUCGAAAGCGUGGGGAGCAAACAGG